rnacentral:rRNA from 1 species
UACGGAGGGUGCAAGCGUUAUCCGGAUUUAUUGGGUUUAAAGGGUCCGUAGGCGGAUUAAUCAGUCAGUGGUGAAAUCCCUUAGCUUAACUAAGGAACUGCCAUUGAUACUGUUAGUCUUGAGUGAGGUUGCAGUGGCUGGAAUGUGUAGUGUAGCGGUGAAAUGCUUAGAUAUUACGCAGAACACCAAUUGCGAAGGCAGGUCACUAAGCCUCAACUGACGCUGAUGGACGAAAGCGUGGGGAGCGAACAGG